UGAUGCCCAGCUUGCUGGGUUGAUUAGUGGCGAACGGGUGAGUAACACGUGAGUAACCUGCCCCUGACUCUGGGAUAAGCGUUGGAAACGACGUCUAAUACUGGAUAUGAUCACUGGUCGCAUGGCCUGGUGGUGGAAAGAUUUUUUGGUUGGGGAUGGACUCGCGGCCUAUCAGCUUGUUGGUGAGGUAAUGGCUCACCAAGGCGACGACGGGUAGCCGGCCUGAGAGGGUGACCGGCCACACUGGGACUGAGACACGGCCCAGACUCCUACGGGAGGCAGCAGUGGGGAAUAUUGCACAAUGGGCGAAAGCCUGAUGCAGCAACGCCGCGUGAGGGAUGACGGCCUUCGGGUUGUAAACCUCUUUUAGUAGGGAAGAAGCGAAAGUGACGGUACCUGCAGAAAAAGCACCGGCUAACUACGUGCCAGCAGCCGCGGUAAUACGUAGGGUGCAAGCGUUGUCCGGAAUUAUUGGGCGUAAAGAGCUCGUAGGCGGUUUGUCGCGUCUGCUGUGAAAUCCCGAGGCUCAACCUCGGGCUUGCAGUGGGUACGGGCAGACUAGAGUGCGGUAGGGGAGAUUGGAAUUCCUGGUGUAGCGGUGGAAUGCGCAGAUAUCAGGAGGAACACCGAUGGCGAAGGCAGAUCUCUGGGCCGUAACUGACGCUGAGGAGCGAAAGCAUGGGGAGCGAACAGGAUUAGAUACCCUGGUAGUCCAUGCCGUAAACGUUGGGCGCUAGAU
rnacentral:rRNA from 1 species